rnacentral:rRNA from 1 species
UACGUAGGGUGCAAGCGUUGUCCGGAAUUAUUGGGCGUAAAGAGCUCGUAGGCGGUCUGUCGCGUCUGCUGUGAAAACCUGGGCUUAACCCCGGGCCUGCAGUGGGUACGGGCAGACUAGAGUUCGGUAGGGGAGACUGGAAUUCCUGGUGUAGCGGUGAAAUGCGCAGAUAUCAGGAGGAACACCGGUGGCGAAGGCGGGUCUCUGGGCCGUAACUGACGCUGAGGAGCGAAAGCAUGGGGAGCGAACAGG